rnacentral:rRNA from 1 species
UUUGAUUAUGGCUCACGGCGAACGCUGGCGGCGUGCUUAACACAUGCAAGUCGAGCGGUGACCCUCGGAGCUUGCUUCGGGGUGAACAGUGGCGAACGGGUGAGUAACACGUGAGUAACCUGCCCCUGACUCUGGAAUAAGCGCUGGAAACGGCGUCUAAGACCGGAUACGACACGCCUCCGCAUGGGGAGCGUGUGGAAAGUUUUUCGGUCUGGGAUGGACUCGCGGCCUAUCAGCUUGUUGGUGAGGUAAUGGCUCACCAAGGCGAUGACGGGUAGCCGGCCUGAGAGGGCGACCGGCCACACUGGGACUGAGACACGGCCCAGACUCCUACGGGAGGCAGCAGUGGGGAAUAUUGCACAAUGGGCGAAAGCCUGAUGCAGCGACGCCGCGUGAGGGAUGACGGCCUUCGGGUUGUAAACCUCUUUCAGCAGGGAAGAAGCGAAAGUGACGGUACCUGCAGAAGAAGCACCGGCUAACUACGUGCCAGCAGCCGCGGUAAUACGUAGGGUGCGAGCGUUGUCCGGAAUUAUUGGGCGUAAAGAGCUUGUAGGCGGUUUGUCGCGUCUGCCGUGAAAAUCCGGGGCUCAACCCCGGACUUGCGGUGGGUACGGGCAGACUAGAGUGUGGUAGGGGAGACUGGAAUUCCUGGUGUAGCGGUGAAAUGCGCAGAUAUCAGGAGGAACACCGAUGGCGAAGGCAGGUCUCUGGGCCACUACUGACGCUGAGAAGCGAAAGCAUGGGGAGCGAACAGGAUUAGAUACCUGGUAGUCAAUGCCGUAAACGUUGGUUGUUAAGGGUCGGACUCUUUCCACUUAUUUCCUGGCCGAAGAUGACGCAUUAAGCGCCGCGCCUGUGGAUUACGGGCGCAAGGUUAAAACUGAAAGGAAUUGACGGGGGCCCUUACAAACUGCUGACCAUGUGGAUUAAUUGGAUGCAACGCUAAGAACCUUACCAAGGGUUGACAUAUACCGGAAACAUAUGGAGACUGGUGUCCCGCAAGGAUUGCCUACAGGUGGAGCAUGGUUGUCGUCAGCUCAUGCCAUGCCAUGUUGCUUUAAACACCGUACCCAUCGCAACCCUUGUUCUAUGUUGCCAGCACGUGAUGGUGGGGACUUAUUUACAACUGCCGGGGCAAACUCCUAAGAAGGUGGUGAUCAGGUCAACUCAUCAUACCCCUUAUGUCUCUCGCUUGACACAUGCUACAAUGGCCUGUACAAAGGACUGCGACACCGUGAGGUGUAACGAAUCCC